rnacentral:rRNA from 1 species
AAGCAGAGGGGGCUUAGUGGUGGGGUGACUGCGUACCUUUUGUAUAAUGGGUCAGCGACUUAUAUUCUGUAGCAAGGUUAACCGAAUAGGGGAGCCGGAGGGAAACCGAGUCUUAACCGGGCGUUAAGUUGCAGGGUAUAGACCCGAAACCCGGUGAUCUAGCCAUGGGCAGGUUGAAGGUUGGGUAACACUAACUGGAGGACCGAACCGACUAAUGUUGAAAAAUUAGCGGAUGACCUGUGGCUGGGGGUGAAAGGCCAAUCAAACCGGGAGAUAGCUGGUUCUCCCCGAAAGCUAUUUAGGUAGCGCCUCGUGAAUUCAUCUCCGGGGGUAGAGCACUGUUUCGGCUAGGGGGUCAUCCCGACUUACCAACCCGAUGCAAACUGCGAAUACCGGAGAAUGUUAUCACGGGAGACACACGGCGGGUGCUAACGUCCGUCGUGAAGAGGGAAACAACCCAGACCGCCAGCUAAGGUCCCAAAGUCAUGGUUAAGUGGGAAACGAUGUGGGAAGGCCCAGACAGCCAGGAUGUUGGCUUAGAAGCAGCCAUCAUUUAAAGAAAGCGUAAUAGCUCACUGGUCGAGUCGGCCUGCGCGGAAGAUGUAACGGGGCUAAACCAUGCACCGAAGCUGCGGCAGCGAACGUAUCACCCAAGACAACUUUACGGAGUUGACGAUUGAUGGAGCGAAGCGACGUCAAAGCGUUCAUUAAAGUCGAGUUGGCUUAGGGAUACGUUCGUUGGGUAGGGGAGCGUUCUGUAAGCCUGUGAAGGUGGCCUGUGAGGGUUGCUGGAGGUAUCAGAAGUGCGAAUGCUGACAUAAGUAACGAUAAAGCGGGUGAAAAGCCCGCUCGCCGGAAGACCAAGGGUUCCUGUCCAACGUUAAUCGGGGCAGGGUGAGUCGACCCCUAAGGCGAGGCCGAAAGGCGUAGUCGAUGGGAAACGGGUUAAUAUUCCCGUACUUGGUGUUACUGCGAAGGGGGGACGGAGAAGGCUAUGUUGGCCGGGCGACGGUUGUCCCGGUUUAAGCGUGUAGGUGUGUGUUCCAGGUAAAUCCGGUUCACUUUAACACUGAGGCGUGAUGACGAGGCACUACGGUGCUGAAGCAACAAAUGCCCUGCUUCCAGGAAAAGCCUCUAAGCAUCAGGUAACAUCAAAUCGUACCCCAAACCGACACAGGUGGUCAGGUAGAGAAUACCAAGGCGCUUGAGAGAACUCGGGUGAAGGAACUAGGCAAAAUGGUGCCGUAACUUCGGGAGAAGGCACGCUGACACGUAGGUGAAGUGAUUUACUCA